UUUUUUUUUGUCACUUAUUCUUUGAAAUUGGGCUUUUCCUAAUAAGUCGAGAAUAUAUUAACUUUAAUAAGCCUCUCCGGUCAGCUUCAGCUCUCGAGUCGGAGCUUACCAUAACAAGCCUAGUCGUAGAAAUGAAGUUCAACUCAAUGUCUUACGGCAUGAUUUUGCUGGUUUUACACUUCUUCCUUCUGGUUAUUGCAGGGGGAAGUUGACAUUACAUUUUUAGAUCUCUAACAACUUUGGGAACUCUUAAGUGAGUGAUGAUGUCUCAGACUUUAAGUGUGAUUGAGAAAGUGCCAUGGUGUGUAAGCUGUAGCUGUAGGUACUUCAGGGACAUGACAGCUCCAACCGUUUGAUGAAAUGCCUCAGUGGUGAUUGGUUUCUGUUUGCUAGUUUGAUCUGAUAGGAUUGUUCAAUCUUUAAAAUGGUUGCCGCCAAUGAAGAGGAGUCUAGGGACGCCCAACAUUCAGCUUGCAAUGUUAGAUUUUGGGAAAUGUGAUGCCGAAGGGUGCACAGAACGCAAACUUUCAGGAUUUGGCCUAUUGAAAGAAAGUAUCCUCUUUUCAUUUCCGUUGAAAUGAUUGCAUUUUUGCUCAUUCUCCUUUUCUCGAACUAAAAAGGAAGAGAUGUUUCUUCUUCCUUCUUGCCUAUAAAAACUUUUAGUUAUUCAAGAAGCAAGCCAAAAAACAAACUAUGCAUUUUCUUUUAGUGAAGUUUAUAGUGAUUCAAUGUUGUUAGUAUAGCUGUUGCAUCCUCACAACUUAUAUUUGAAAACCCAGUGAGAAUAUUGACCAGAUUCUCAACUUUGAGUUGCCCCCAUAGUUCCUUACUCCCAGCAUUAAAUUUGACCAGUGCUUGUUAUGAUUCUGUGUUUUGCUUAUCUGAUUAUUUGACAUCUUAUCUUGUAAUGGAUAGAGUUGUUAAAUACUUGUCUCACGGCCAUUAGUGGUUUAUAAUGAUUAGCAUCUCUCCUUGGCAUUGGAGAAGAGGAAACUGCACUCCUGUUGUUGGGAAAGUUCAAGUGUGUUCAUGCUUUUCUUUCACUAAGCGUGUAUUCUAUUUCCUAUUUUUGCUGAGUUUCAAGCAUGAAAAUUUUCCUAUGAAGCGAGUUUUAAGAGUUGAGCCAAAAGUUCGGGUCCUCUGACGACUUUCAUCUGGAAGUUCCAGUGAUAAUCACAUUCUUCAAGCCUCGUUGAGGAAUUCUGACUCGGCCAAUAGUGCUCUUCCAAUGCAGGAAGCCUUAUUACUAUUGUUAUCACAUGUUGAUGAAUCUAAGGAAGGUGUCACUAGUAGACUCUUUAAAUUGCUUUAUAUGUCUUGUACGAAUUCGAUCAGUGAGACAUUGACUGGUACAGGGAACUUUUGAAGCCAUAUUCUGAAUGUAACGAUGGUGCUGAUAUUAUAGCGGUUUAAAAGACUUUGCUCUCUCAGCAGGCUCAGCUUCCCAAGGCUCCAUCGGACAAUCAAGGAAUAUGAAUCGCUUGACUUUACAGGAAAGAGAGGAAGAGAGUUAAUCGCUUGAAUCUGUGGGUACUAGAAAGUGGAAAAGUUUUGCAUUUGCGAAGUAUAAAUACAAGCUUCUUCUUUUCUCUUUUCUCUA